AGUGAACGCUGGCGGUAGGCCUAACACAUGCAAGUCGAACGGCAGCACAGGAGAGCUUGCUCUCUGGGUGGCGAGUGGCGGACGGGUGAGGAAUACAUCGGAAUCUACUUUUUCGUGGGGGAUAACGUAGGGAAACUUACGCUAAUACCGCAUACGACCUACGGGUGAAAGCAGGGGAUCAUCGGACCUUGCGCGAUUGAAUGAGCCGAUGUCGGAUUAGCUAGUUGGCGGGGUAAAGGCCCACCAAGGCGACGAUCCGUAGCUGGUCUGAGAGGAUGCUCAGCCACACUGGAACUGAGACACGGUCCAGACUCCUACGGGAGGCAGCAGUGGGGAAUAUUGGACAAUGGGCGCAAGCCUGAUCCAGCCAUACCGCGUGGGUGAAGAAGGCCUUCGGGUUGUAAAGCCCUCUUGUUGGGAAAGAAAUCCAGCUGGCUAAUACCCGGUUGGGAUGACGGUACCCAAAGAAUAAGCACCGGCUAACUUCGUGCCAGCCGCCGCAGUAA
rnacentral:rRNA from 1 species